rfam:Schistosoma mattheei strain Denwood, Zambia genome assembly, scaffold: SMTD_scaffold0003123
AUGCAGCUGACGAGUCUCAAAUAGGACGAAACGCGCGUCCUGGAU